rnacentral:rRNA from 1 species
GUGCCAGCAGCCGCGGUAAAACGUAGGUGGCAAGCGUUGUCCGGAAUUAUUGGGCGUAAAGCGCGCGCAGGCGGUUUCUUAAGUCUGAUGUGAAAGCCCACGGCUCAACCGUGGAGGGUCAUUGGAAACUGGGAAACUUGAGUGCAGAAGAGGAAAGUGGAAUUCCAAGUGUAGCGGUGAAAUGCGUAGAGAUUUGGAGGAACACCCAGUGGCGAACGACGACUUUCUGGUCUGUAACUGACGCUGAGGCGCGAAAGCGUGGGGAGCAAACAGGAUUAGAUACCCUGGUAGUG